GGCGGCGUGCCUAACACAUGCAAGUCGAGCGGGGACAUUAACAGAACGGAAGUUUCGGACGGAAGGGAAGAUAAGUGUUCUAGCGGCGGACGGGUGAGUAACGCGUGAGCAACCUGUCCUUCACAGGGGGAUAACACAGCGAAAGUUGUACUAAUACCGCAUAAGACCACGGUACCGCAUGGGUGCGGGGGUCAAAGGAGGAAUCCGGUGAAGGGUGGGCUCGCGUCCGAUUAGAUAGUUGGUGAGGUAACGGCCCACCAAGUCAACGAUCGGUAGCCGACCUGAGAGGGUGAUCGGCCACAUUGGGACUGAGACACGGCCCAAACUCCUACGGGAGGCAGCAGUGGGGAAUAUUGGGCAAUGGGGGGAAACCCUGACCCAGCAACGCCGCGUGAGGGAAGAAGGUUUUCGGAUCGUAAACCUCUGUCCUAGGUGAAGAGGAAGAGACGGUAGCCUAGGAGGAAGCCCCGGCUAACUACGUGCCAGCCGCGGC
rnacentral:rRNA from 1 species